CACCUCAAUGUCCUUAUCAUCAUGAUCAACUUGAAACAAGUGUGGACACUCAGCACAGAAACACGUGCUGUAAUGAAAGGGCAGGAACAGAGGCAUCAAAGAGGCAUUGAAGGCUACGGUGGAUUUGGCCCCAAGCCAGCCAAAGGCACAGCUUCUCUCCUGGUCCAUGUCUCUGAAUCUCAUCCCGUUUGACGUAUAAAUACAGGUUGACUGUGCCCUCCAGACCACUCACUCUUGCCCUCUCACCUGACCUUGAUCUCCAAGUGACCCCAGACAUGAGGACAUUCACUCUUCUGGCUACUUUUCUCCUAUUGACUCUCCAGACCCAGGCUGAACUCCUCCAAGAGACAGCUGACUAGGUUCCUCCCCAGGACCACCUUUGGGCCAAGGACCAGGACCAGGCAGGGGACAGUGACCAUGACGUGGCCAUCUCCCUCACAGGAGAGGAACGCCUCACUCGAACUUCAGGACGUGGGACAGGAACCUAUUGCUUUUGCACACUCAAAAAUUUCUGCAACUUCCUAGUAAAAAAAAGCUGGGUCCUGCAGGUUGUAUGGCCAUCGACGCACACUUUGCUGUCGCUAAGCUUUUGCACACAGACCCGAAGGACUGUGAGAUGCCACUGAAGACCUGAAGCAGCUUUCAGUCUUUGUACCUGUGCCAUUUCUUCUUUCUCUCUCCAUAAUAAACUUCAAGCAUUAAACUCA